rnacentral:lncRNA from 1 species
AAAGAGCUUACAAUUAGUUGAUUGAUGAAAAAAUAAUACCAUGGAUUUAUUAUCCCUUCAUUGAGAGAGCUGUGGGGUGGCUACCAUCAGUUUUGGUUCCACGGAAGUGAGGAAACAACCUGCCACGGCCUUCACAGUCCAAGCAGGUGGUUGGGGACAGGAGGCCUAGUGAUCUGAAGCCGAGAAUUUUAAUUGGUUGCUGAUUCUGCAUGCAAGGCUCGAGUUCUGGAUUUUGUAUCUCCUGUCUGGGAAUGACUUUGCAAAAACGGAGAUUUGACCACAGAAGAACCACAGACCUCAUGAAAAGCCAUUUCUCCUUGGAAGUCUCUGUAUCAGUGUCAACUUGACAAUAGUAAUUGCUGAUGAGACCCCGAAAAUCACAGCCAGCUCCAUAAUAAUGUCCAUAAAAUGACUACAACAUUGAAGACAGCAAUGAGUAAAUCUGUGACUUUUGUCUGCUGCCACACUUCAACCAAGGACAGUUAAAGAAGAAAAUGAGGAAAUCCUCUCUCUGGAAUUUAGCACCUCAAAACUUUGGGAGGCAAUUAAUGGACAUUAAAUCAUAAAACAAUAUUUUUUUGAGAAUAAAACUCAAGUCAAUUUGUAAUGCU